rnacentral:ncRNA from 1 species
CCGUUAGAAAGGGGCAUGAAAAAUCGGUCCCGUGCCUAUAAGGCAUCAGAGUUUGAAAUAAAAUAAC